GCAAUCGAGCAACUUCCAGAUUAUAUGCAAAUUUUCUAUCUAGCACUCAACAACUUCGUCAAUGAAAUGGCUUACGAUGUUCUCAGAGAAAAAGGGAUCGUAAUUAUUCCAUAUUUAAGAAAAGUGUGGACAGAUUUAUGUAAAGCAUACUUACAAUAGGCAAAAUGGUGCUUGACUGGAUACACCCCAACAAUGGAAGAGUAUAUGGAAAAUGCAUUGAUUUCAAUAUCAGCUCAUGUAAUAUUGUCACAUUCUUUUUUCUCUGUUACCAAUCCAAUAGAGAAAGAAGCCAUUCGGUGCUUAGAGAAAUAUCCUGAUAUAGUUCGUUGGUCGGCUACGAUUUUAAGGCUUGCAGAUGAUUUAGCAACAUCAUCGGUAUGUAUGCAGCAAGCCAUUUCAUUUCAUGUUUACGACAUUUUUGGUUAAUGAAAUCAAUGAGACAAUAGGAAUUCGAAAUUAA